rnacentral:rRNA from 1 species
GUAAUAGCUCACUGGUCGAGUCGGCCUGCGCGGAAGAUGUAACGGGGCUAAACCAUGCACCGAAGCUGCGGCAGCGAACGUAUCACUUAAAGCGAUUCAGCGGAUUACGAUUGACGGAGCGAAGCGACGUCAAAGCGUAUACAAAGUCGAGUCGGUUUAAGGAUACGUUCGUUGGGUAGGGGAGCGUUCUGUAAGCCUGUGAAGGUGGCCUGUGAGGGUUGCUGGAGGUAUCAGAAGUGCGAAUGCUGACAUAAGUAACGAUAAAGCGGGUGAAAAGCCCGCUCGCCGGAAGACCA